AUGAUCGUGGAGACGGUCACUGCCCACCACCCACCGGGUUCUGUGGUCUCCUAUGAGCUGACCCAGCCACUGUCUGCGUCAGUGGACCUGGGAGGAACCGUCACAAUCACCUGUCAGGGCGACAAUCUUGGUAGUUACUAUGCUCACUGGUACCAGCAGCAGCCGGCCCAGGCCCCUGUGCUGGUCAUCUACAACGAUAAGGAGCGGCCCUCGGGGAUCCCUGAGCGGUUCUCUGGCGCCAAAUCGGGGAAAACGGCCACCCUGACCAUCAGCGGGGCCCAGGCCGAGGACGAGGCUGUCUACCACUGUCAGUCAUAUGACAGCAGUAGUGAUACCACAGUGACACACGCUGAUGGGGAAACGGGCUGUGCAGACCUGAGUCCAACCAGUGUGACCCUGACUGCUGAGGUGUGUCCCGACCACAGGAGUCCUGGGGAUUGA